rnacentral:rRNA from 1 species
AGGGUUCGAUCCUGGCUCAGGAUGAACGCUGGCGGCGUGCCUAACACAUGCAGGUCGAACGAAGCGACUGGAGGAAGUUUUCGGAUGGAAUCCGGUUGACUGAGUGGCGGACGGGUGAGUAACGCGUGAGGAACCUGCCUCAAAGAGGGGGACAACAGUUGGAAACGACUGCUAAUACCGCAUAAGCCCACAGGUCGGCAUCGACCAGAGGGAAAAGGAGCAAUCCGCUUUGAGAUGGCCUCGCGUCCGAUUAGCUAGUUGGUGAGGUAACGGCCCACCAAGGCGACGAUCGGUAGCCGGACUGAGAGGUUGAACGGCCACAUUGGGACUGAGACACGGCCCAG